rnacentral:rRNA from 1 species
AAUGAACGCUGGCGGCGUGCCUAACACAUGCAAGUCGAGCGAGAAAGUCUCUUCGGAGAUAAGUACAGCGGCGGACGGGUGAGUAACGCGUGAGAAUUUACCCUUUAGUGAAGAAUACCUCUGAGAAAUCAGGGUUAAUGCUGCAUACGUCCCUACGGGGAGAAAGGUGGCCUCUUUGCUGCCGCUAAAGGAUAAGCUUGCGUACUAUUAGCUAGUUGGUGAGGUAAAGGCUCACCAAGGCGAUGAUGGUUAGCCGGCCUGAGAGGGUGUACGGCCACACUGGAACUUAGACACGGUCCAGACUCCUACGGGAGGCAGCAGUGAGGAAUAUUGCGCAAUGGGCGAAAGCCUGACGCAGCGACGCCGCGUGGAGGAUGAAGGUCUUCGGAUUGUAGACUCCUGUUAAGUGGGAAGAAAGACCUAUUUCUAAUACAGAUAGGGGAUGACGGUCCCAUUAGAGAAAGCACCGGCUAAACUUCGUGCCAGCAGCCGCGGUAAU